GACCCCACAGAGCCUGCAGGAAAGGCCGCAGGCGCCACCCGGGCCGGAGCCCAGCUCCUGCCUUUGCUCACCUGAAAGGCUGGUCCUCGUCCAGGGAGGUCGCUGGAGCGGCCUUUCAGGGCCAAGGCUGUGCCAUCUGGUCAUAGUGAGGGUUCACCAGGAAGAGCUCUGAGCCGCUCUCAGCCUCCUCAUCUGUCAGGUGGGUCCUGGGCCUCGGCCCCUUCUCCCUCCAGGCGCUCUGGAUGGCGGAUGCUGGGGUCGGGGGGGCCUCUCCCCAGGGAGGGGUGUGGGGAGCAGCGCUGUGGGCCUGGCAGCCUGAGGCGGGGCCCUCCAGUGCCUUGCUGACCAGCUCCCUGCUUCUGCAGACAGGAAGGCUGCCAGCCUGAUGUUCACUGUGGCCGCUGGACCACUCCUGCCAACACCUUUAUGGGAACCCAAGAGCCAGGCUAACAGGGCUCGGAAUAUGAAGGCCAAGGUUUACUGUCUGGGUGUAAAAGACUAUCAGAGAGACCAGGUAAUUCAGAACAGCUGGGUCAGAUUGUUACAGGGGAGGCCCAACUGGAUGAGACGCCCGAACCGCUGACGAUGAAGGCUUUCUUACGUCGCUGGUGGGAAAUUCCUGUAAGGGAGGUAUGGGUAGAGACACAUUCCAUGCCUGUGUGGGAGGUACGUGCUGGGGUCACUGUCCUAGGCAGGAUGGUGCUCGGGUAUGUGUGGUGUGAAUGUGCCUGAGUGUGCCUGCUUGUGUGAGUGUGGUGUGAGUGUGUGGGGGGUUGGUAUUGUGUUGUGAUUAGUGUGUACGAGAGUUU